rnacentral:rRNA from 1 species
CCCUUAGAUGUCCUGGGCUGCACGCGCGCUACACUGAUGUGUCCAGUAAGCACCUAACCUCUUCCGAAAGGAACGGGUAACCUUUGCAAAGCACAUCGUGAUGGGGAUAGAUUAUUGCAAUUAUUAGUCUUGAACGAGGAAUUCCUAGUGAGCACAAGUCAUCAGCUUGUGUUGAUUACGUCCCUGCCCUUCGUACACACCGCCCGUCGCUCCUACCGAUUGAAUGUUCCGGUGAGCUCUUCGGACUGCGCGGUCUGCAGUUUCUGCGUUCCGUGCGGAAAGUUGCGCAAACCUUAACAUUUAGAGGAAGGAGAAGUCGUAACA